UAUAGAGCCAGUUGACCAAAAAAUAACUAGCAUUUUUCUGAAUUCAUUCAGUUCUGCAAAUCUUGGGAAAUCAUCAAACUCUGUCUCAUAGUCGAUUCCACUUCCGGUUAUGUUUGAUUUGUGGUCGUCGCACAGUAUAGUUCUUGUCUAUUGUUGAAGGUGUUGACAGUUGGCGCAUUGACUAUUGAUUCAGCAGUUUCUGGUCGUGCUGACGGUGAUCUGUAUACCAAGCCAACUAGGAGUUUAUUUGUGUUGUUCAAUUUUAUCUUGACAAAUAAAUUUUGAAAUGUUCUCCGACACUAAAACAUAA